AUUAUUUCAUUGAAUAAAUUCUUCAUUCCUUUGAUUUGUAAAAACUCUAUGCCUUCUUGUAUCCCAAUAAUUAUUAAAUUUGGUCUUUUUAUGUUAUCCCAUAAUUCUUGAAUGUUCUGCUCAUGGUUUCUUACCAUCUUCACUGUGUGGUCAACUUUACUUUUAAGAUUAUAUAUUUUGUCUUCAUUUCCUGAGAUUCUCUCUUCCAAGUGAUCUAAUCUGUUGGUUG
rnacentral:lncRNA from 1 species